rnacentral:lncRNA from 1 species
CUUCGGCCCGCUCGCCGUCUGCCAAUGGGAUCUGUCAGGGCUCCUGGGCCAGCGGCCUCGGGGGCGGGGCCUCGGAAGCCCGUGGGAAACCGCACUCCGAUUGGAGCUGCGGACAAUCGCUCCGCCUCCGGGCAGCCAAUCGGAGGCGGAGAAUACAGGAGCGGGGCGUUCGGAGUUGGGCUGGAGAGUGACAAGAGGCGCACGCUGGACACCUGAGCGGCGUCCGGCCCCGGGUGGGCGCUGUGGCUGGAGGGAUGCUGGCGAUGCACACUCCCGGGUGCCUUCGCACCAGACCCUGGCGGCGCAACCCGGAGAAACCGCGGCAAGGAUGGCGAGGCGUGCAGGCGCCGGCCACAGCGAGGGAGCCCUUAACAAAGCAGCUUCGGGAGGGCCGGGUGGCCUCCGCCUUCUCCUCCAAUAGGUCCUUGAGGCUGCCUGUCACCGUGCAUAGGUGGAGGUGGCCAAUGACGUCCGCGAAUGAGCUGGAGUUGGCGCGCGCGCGCGGCUCGGCGGCAGUGGGAUUGGUCCGAGUGUGGCUGAUUGAUGAUGGAGUCGGAAGAUAAUGACUUGAAGACCAGCCUGGCUACAAAUAGAACUAUUUCCAAAAGAAAAGGAAAUUGACGCCUUCACUUCCCACCCCCAAACCUGAGUAUCAAUGGCAUCCACGUGAAAUCCACCUGCCCUUACCUCCUGAAAUCGGUCUACCCUGUUCUAAACAGGAAGCUCAGCCUCUCAAUUCUGCCCCAGUGUUGUGUAAGUACCCUGGGUGGCUGACACAUUCCUCCCAGCAGGGAGGCUCCUUAAGGAAAGGAAAACAACUCCAAAGGCUUCAGGAAGUCCAGGAAACUAACCGGAUUGAAUAGGCCAUCCCUGACAUAGUAAGCAAUUAGAGCUGAGAGUCUCUCUGAUGAGCCAAGACUGAGAUGAGACCAGCCCAGCCUCCUGGAAGAGGCAAAAGCCAGCCGAGGUGCCUGGAAAUUAUUUAGACCAACUGAGUCACUAAGAAGACUCUCCACGGUGUGGAGCUGCCUGCAGGCUGGGCAGCGAGCUCCAGCUUUGUGAGCAUCACUCAUGCUGGAGUGGGCUUUGGUGAUGCCGCUGUCUCUGCGUCAUUUCUGCUCCUGGAGGUAACCCCAAUAAAACUCAUUGG